GAAAAACAAAAAUCAAUUUCUUUCUGGUGGGAUGUCAAAAAUCUCCGGCCUGCAAAAGAAAAGAGUUGGAUAUUUUUCAUGAAAGAUAUUCAUGUAAUCAUAUCACAGAAACCAAAAUGCAAUUCCAGAAUCCAAUAAUCACAUAAAAAAGGAAGAGAAAAAUAUACAAACAGCACAAAAACCCAAACCCCUCUCCUCCUCUCCUCCUUCUUCUGCUUCCUCUCCGUCCCGUUCCGAUCUUUCACAGUUAGCCGACAAGUUUCACGCCUAACAAUAUAUACAUCAUACACCUCAUUUUCUCCAUUAAUUUAAUUUCUUCAGGAGCAUUCAUACUAAUUAUUAUGUCUAACAUGGCCAAGUGAAAUAAAAUUGAAAAGAGUAUUUAUAUACUCCUCCGUGCAGAUUUACUUGUGCUAAAUUUUUUUUUCAUAUAAAUUACACUUAAGAUGAUUUAUUUAUUAUUCAAUACUCUUUAUUAAACAUCAAUUAACGAAAGUAAUAUAAUAAAGUCACUAUAUUAAUAUUUUUUUAUAGGUCAAAUGUUACAAGGAAAUUCGAACGGAGAGUAUAUAAUAUGUGUCAAGUACUCCUUGUAGUCCAAUUAUUUUUCAAAUCUACCAUACUUCUAGCAAAAGUUUUAAUGCACACCAAGGUUGCUGCACUUUAUGCUUUCCCAUAAAAAUUGCUCCACCAAUUAGAAAAUUCAAAAAAAAUACAAAAAGCUUNNNNN
rnacentral:lncRNA from 1 species